GUUAAAAGCUACUGUGGUGGGUUUCUUUGGUAUUUUGCUCCCUACAAGGAUGUUAAAUUUAAUUACAUUGUGGUCGAUAUUACUGAGUGGUUCACUAUAUUCAUUUCUUGGACCAGAUCCUGUGCUUCACUUAGCACUAAAUCAAGAAUUGCCUCUGUCCUUGUGGGUUCCAGGAUUAGCUGCUCCAAGAAGCAGUCAUUAAUGGUGUCUAGAAACUUUAUCUCUGCACCCGCAGUGAGGUGAUAUGUUCCCAGUCAAUGUGGGGAUAGUUGAAAACCCCCAUUAUGAUUGGGUUUUCUGUUUUUGUAACCUUUCUAAUCUCCCUGACUAU